rnacentral:rRNA from 1 species
UGGGGAAUUUUGGACAAUGGGGGCAACCCUGAUCCAGCAAUGCCGCGUGUGUGAAGAAGGCCUUCGGGUUGUAAAGCACUUUUGUCCGGAAAGAAAACGUCGUGGUUAAUACCCGUGGCGGCUGACGGUACCGGAAGAAUAAGCACCGGCUAACUACGUGCCAGCAGCCGCGGUAAUACGUAGGGUGCAAGCGUUAAUCGGAAUUACUGGGCGUAAAGCGUGCGCAGGCGGUCCGCUAAGACAGAUGUGAAAUCCCCGGGCUUAACCUGGGAACUGCAUUUGUGACUGGCGGGCUAGAGUAUGGCAGAGGGGGGUAGAAUUCACGUGUAGCAGUGAAAUGCGUAGAGAUGUGGAGGAAUACCGAUGGCGAAGGCAGCCCCCUGGGCCAAUACUGACGCUCAUGCACGAAAAGCGUGGGGAGCAAAACAGGAUUAGAUACCCUGGUAGUCCAGCGCCCCAUAAAACGAUGUCCGAACUAGUUGUCGGGGUCUUCAUUGACUUGGUAACGUAGCUAACGCGUGAAGUUGACCGCCUGGGGGAGUACGGUCGCAAGAUUAAAAACUUAAAGGAAUUGACGGGGUCAUAGCUGUUUCCU